GGCGGUUCUCAGGUGACACACCCUGGAAUUGUGUUCCCUCCUCUCUGGUUCUGGGUGCAUCACCCAAGAACUACA
rfam:Myotis lucifugus cont2.3204, whole genome shotgun sequence.